GUCCAUGCCGUAAACGAUGAAGACUGGCUGUUGGGCACCUACGGGUGUUUAGUAGCGAAGCUAACGCGUUAAGUCUUCCGCCUGGGGAGUACGGCCGCAAGGUUAAAACUCAAAGGAAUUGACGGGGGCCCCGCACAAGCGGUGGAACAUGUGGUUUAAUUCGACGCAACGCGAAGAACCUUACCUACCCUUGACAUCCUCGGAAUCUGCUAGAGAUAGCGGAGUGCCUUCGGGAGCCGAGAGACAGGUGCUGCAUGGCUGUCGU
rnacentral:rRNA from 1 species